rnacentral:tRNA from 1 species
GGCCCUGUAGUUCAAUGGAUAGAAUAAGACACUCCUAACGUCUAGAUCCAGGUUCGAUUCCCGGUGGGGCCACAA